rnacentral:rRNA from 1 species
AUUGAACGCUGGCGGCAGGCCUAACACAUGCAAGUCGAGCGGAUGAAGGGAGUUUGCUCCUGGAUUCAGCGGCGGACGGGUGAGUAAUGCCUAGGAAUCUGCCUGGUAGUGGGGGAUAACGUCCGGAAACGGGCGCUAAUACCGCAUACGUCCUGAGGGAGAAAGUGGGGGAUCUUCGGACCUCACGCUAUCAGAUGAGCCUAGGUCGGAUUAGCUAGUUGGUGGGGUAAAGGCCUACCAAGGCGACGAUCCGUAACUGGUCUGAGAGGAUGAUCAGUCACACUGGAACUGAGACACGGUCCAGACUCCUACGGGAGGCAGCAGUGGGGAAUAUUGGACAAUGGGCGAAAGCCUGAUCCAGCCAUGCCGCGUGUGUGAAGAAGGUCUUCGGAUUGUAAAGCACUUUAAGUUGGGAGGAAGGGCAGUAAGUUAAUACCUUGCUGUUUUGACGUUACCAACAGAAUAAGCACCGGCUAGCUUCGUG